UGGAGCAACCAGGGCCGCAUUUACCCUUCCGCCUGAAACAACAGCAACCACAAAAAGCAGACAUAAUAUACAAAACAUCGGUUUUCAAGAUGCUGGACAUCAGGGAAACACGAAGAAGUUACAGCUGGAAGUUUGUCCAUCAGAGGCUCCUGAUCUAAUGCACCUGAGAAGCUUUGGGGAUGGUGAGGCUUCACCUCAGCACUUUUAUUUCCAGGGAUGGGACUCGCUACCUACCACCCUCCUCCAUCUGACUAGUCCCUAUAGGAGUGCCUCUUGGAAACCCCUUCCCCAACCCCAAAUUGCAAACUGAACAAUACAUAUUGCCUUGCUUCACACAG
rnacentral:lncRNA from 1 species